rnacentral:sRNA from 1 species
CCAAAAUCUUUGACUACUUCUCAUACUAGUUUCAUUCAUCUUUUCGUACUAAUCUGUAACUUUCAAAUGAUGUCCAAUUUGGAAGAAGGAAAAAAAAGCUUGAGUCCUUAAAAUUUCUAAAUUAAGAUUCCGAAUGGAGACGUGCGGUUCAACUGCGGAUAAAGUGCGGUGCGGUUCAAAUAGUAACAAAUUAUAUACAUAUAUAUAUGCAAAGAAUUUCGUUAUUAUUUAAAACACACUGCACUGCGGUUCGGUCACCAUUCGAAACCUAAGAUCCAAAAUUAUUUCAAAAAUAUCGCAUACUAAAAAAAUGUGGAAAAUAAUCAGCAUAAAGUCGCAGGGA